CAAUGACCCGGUGAUGGGGUCCCGAUCCAAAUCACCAGUUUUAAAGCCCAGAUUGACCACUUCCAACAGCUGGUCAAUAAACUGCAAGUAUCCCCACAUGUGGAUGCAGAGCCAAAGACAUAAGAGGACUAUAGGAGACUUCAGCUGCACAUAUAGUGUCGUAUAUAGACGUACUGUAUAUCCUAGAGGCAAGAAGGCAUCAUGUCAUCUUACAGUCUGCAGCAGCUUGUCAGAUUAACGUAGUAUUAUUCAUCCUAAUAGAGGCCCGCAUACAGUAAAAGGGCUGAAAACUGCAGCAUUUGCAAAGCAGUAGUUCAUCCAGGAAACCCUGCAGGGAGGGAAAGAGACUUAGGCUGGCAGAAGGAAGCCACGCUCGAGUAAACAUCCCUCUCAUCGUCAACCACAUGGUUCACACCAUCGACCUCCUCCUAAGGAGCAGCUACUGAGUUCCAAGAGUGACGCAUGUGCUCAAAGGCAAUGCUUCCUUCCUCCCAGUGCGGCUGCAUCCGAAGCCGACCCGAAGCUAAAGGUCGUAAUGAAGAAAGUGGCGCGUUAGCAGUGUUCUUUUUGUCAGUACGCUUCACCAUCACUGUCAGGACUCCAUCUAUCACCGUGCCAUAGACGAGCGCACGACUCCUCGGUGGGGUUUUGUAAAUAAAAUAAGCAUGUGAGGGUUUAAAGGCGUAGAAAGAAAUGUGCAUUGUGCAGGGAACCGCUGAGGAAAUUUGAGAAUUUAGUGGUUUCUUAACAAUUCUUAACGGAGAAUAACGUAGAACGUAUGAGUGGCAGAACCUAUAUUAACAAAGUAGUUCACGAGUUUGUCGAUGGGUUUAUUAUUUAGUCGCUUUUUUUGUAAAGAUUCGUUUCCAUUGUUAUUAGGUUGUGAGCCUGUUGGGAGCCCGAUGAGGUGAAUGUGGACAAAGUGAUCAAUGGGCAGAUUUUUAAACGAUGAAAAGGCCGCUGAUGGCGAGCAGAUGGAAGCAGGUGUUUGGAAAUGUGCCGACUCCACAGCUCUGUCCUCGAUGGGGCGGCGAGGGUCCGAUGCUGGGCAGGAUAAUGCAGGACCCUCUGAGGGGACCCGAAGAGCCAGGAUGCAGCCAGGAUGCAGCGCGUCCCGCGGCGACCAUGUUCCUCCUGCUGUGAAAUUUUAUCCAACCAGGCAGACGGGCGGUGUGGCCCC
rnacentral:lncRNA from 1 species